GACGAAUGCUGGCGGCGUGCUUAACACAUGCAAGUCGAACGCGGAACUUGGAGCUUGCUCUGGGGGAUUAGUGGCGAACGGGUGAGUAACACGUGAGUAACCUGCCCUGGACUCUGGGAUAACUUCGAGAAAUCGGAGCGAAUACCGGAUAGGACCUUGCACCGCAUGGUGUGGAGUGAAAAGGAUGUAGGUUUGGGAUGGACUCGCGGCGUGUCAGCCUGUUGGUGAGGUAAUGGCGCACAAAGGCGUCGACGGGUAGACGGCCUGCGAGGGUGACAGGCCACACUGGGACUGAGACACGGCCCAGACACCUACGGGAGGCAGCAGUGGGGAAAAUUGCACAAUGGGCGCAAGCCUGAUGCAGCAACGCCGCGUGCGGGAUGACGGCCUUCGGGUUGGAAACCGCUUUUAGUAGGGAAGAAGCCUUAGGGUGACGGUACCUGCAGAAAAAGGACCGGCUAACUACGUGCCAGCCGCCGCCGUAAUAC
rnacentral:rRNA from 1 species